ACCAGUGUGGCACAGUGGUUUAUGUGUUGGAAUACAAUUCUGGAGACCAGGGUUCGAUUCCCAGCUCAGCCA